rnacentral:lncRNA from 1 species
AAUUUUAAGUUUGAAUUCAAAAUUUAGAUUCGAUUUAGAAUUCAAAUUUAAAAUUUGAAUUCUAAUUCAAAACUUUAAUUCAGCUUUAAAUUCAAAUUCAAAAUUCUAGUUUCUCGUUAGUUUAAAAUUUUAACUUUAAUAUUAUUUUUAAACUUAAAUUUAAAAUUUUGAAAUUUUAUUUUUGGCGACUAAAGUAAAAAACAUGCAAAGUUUAGGGACCAAAAUUAACAUGCAAAAGAAUGCUAAAUAGGCACUGACGUGGCGAUUUCGUUAAUUUUAACAAUUUUUUUAACUGCUGGGAUGUAAUUAUAAUAAAAUCAAAAAUUUAGAGACCAACGGUGUAAUUAACCCUAGUGUGUCCCAAUUUUCGCUCUCCGCACUCUCUGGGAAGCUCGAUCUCUAGCACCUUUUUCGUCACGCACUAACUUUAUUUUCAUACACCGACCGUCCCUAACGCAUGUAGCAAAGGGCUUGGUGGUUGAUAUCUGAGGUCCCAAGUUUGAAUCAUAAUUGAUUCAUAUUUCUAGCUAAGUUUAUUUCUAAAUGAAAUAAACGAAGCAGAUAGCAUGUUAUCUAUCUCUCA